rnacentral:lncRNA from 1 species
GGUUACUGACCUUUCUCCUUGCUUAAGUGCAUAGAUUUCCUCCUGUAGGUAUGAAAUUCUCAAGAUAUUGGCCUGAGAGAAUCAUUCUUUGAGAUCAUUCCAAACAUCUGUUGCUUUAUUUAUAUAUUUAGAACACUGUGGGUCAUGGAGGGUAAAAGAGAACGAAUUAUCCAAGAAACCACCAUAGUGUUGCAUCGUUCCUAGGCAGGAAAUAGUGGAUCAUCAACUGAUGGAGCUCUUAACGAUCCAUCGAUAUAUUUUAGUUUUUUCUUUGACAGCAGGGCUACUCUCAUUACUCUGGCCCAUGAAUGGCAGUUAAGACCUGUGAGUGCUGGAGAAACAAGAAUGAGAGCUGGAUUUUCAUUUGGAUGCAAGAAAUAUGGGCUUGAAGUAUUUUGUGU